AUACGGAGGGAGCGAACGUUAUUCGGAUUCACUGGGCUUAAAGAGUGCGUAGGCGGCCUUUCAGGUGAGGUGUGAAAUCCCCCGGCUCAACCGGGGAACUGCGCUUCAAACCGUUAGGCUUGAGGGAGACAGAGGUGAGCGGAACUGAUGGUGGAGCGGUGAAAUGCGUUGAUAUCAUCAGGAACACCUGUGGCGAAAGCGGCUCACUGGGUCUCUUCUGACGCUGCGGCACGAAAGCUAGGGUAGCGAACAGGAUUAGAUACCCCAGUAGUCC
rnacentral:rRNA from 1 species